AUUGAACGCUGGCGACAGGCCUAACACAUGCAAGUCGAACGAGUGGCGGACGGGUGAGUAAUGUCUGGGGAACUGCCCGAUGGAGGGGGAUAACUACUGGAAACGGUGGCUAAUACCGCAUACCAUCGGAUGUACCCAUAUGGGAUUAGCUAGUUGGUGGGGUAAAGGCUCACCAAGGCGACGAUCCCUAGCUGGUCUGAGAGGAUGACCAGCCACACUGGAACUGAGACACGGCCCAGACUCCUACGGGAGGCAGCAGUGGGGAAUAUUGCACAAUGGGCGCAAGCCUGAUGCAGCCAUGCCGCGUGUAUGAAGAAGGCCUUAGGGUUGUAAAGUACUUUCAGCGGGGAGGCGUUACCCGCAGAAGAAGCACCGGCUAACUCCGUGCCAGCAGCCGCGGUAAUAC
rnacentral:rRNA from 1 species